ensembl:lncRNA
AUAAUAAUCAUUAUUAUUAUUAUUAUUAUUAUUAUUGUUGUUGUUGUUGUUAUUAGAUUUUAAUAUUUUAUUAUAGUUAUUAAUAUAAUACUAAAAUAAUAAUAAAACAUAAAAAUAAUUAAGACAAUGUAAGCUUUAAGAACAUUACAUUUUCAUGAAAGCUAGGAGCAUUUGAUUACAUGCAACAUAUUACAGUACAAUAAAUAAAUAUAAAAAAAAAUUUGCAUUAUGACAUUUUUUUCCCCUGGAAAUAAGCACAUUUUUAAUCUCAAAUACCAUUUAUUAUUAUUAUUAUUUUUUUUUUUUAUUAUUAUUUUUUUUUUUAGUAAGGAGUACAAUACAAAACAGCUUUAUUUAUUGUCUUACCAUUAAUAGAAACCCUCUAAACAGAAUAUUUUUGAUUUUGUGUGAAAUAUGACCUAGACUUCUUGACUUUGGUUUUGUGAGAUUCACGUGUCAUAAACUGAGAUCACAAACACAGUCAUAAAAGUGAAAGUCCUCUUUGAUGCCAGUAUCUAAUCUGGCAGGUAAAUGAUGGUCUUGUUUUGAACCCUGUUCUCCCUCACAUUUCUGUGUGUGGUUGUGUAUCUGCCGUAUCAAACCAGAAACCUCACGGCUUCACGUAGAAACAUGUACGAGCAUUAAUAGUGUUUGAUAGAUGACAAACAAACUGAUUACUCGGUUAAAAAUACUGAAUUCACCUCAGUCCUCAUGUAAGUGAGUCUCAUAAAGAAAUACCUGGGUCAAAGUAAAAUUAUAUAUAUAUUUGUUGCAUAAAGAAUUUUCAUCAUUUAUUGUUCAGUUUCUCUCAAAAUUGUUACUUACAAUUACAAUAGUCGCUUAACAAUUCUAAUAAUAUAUAUAUAUACAUUUUUUAUUUUUGUUAUUUAUUAAUUUUUUUUUGCACUGCAGUCUUAAAAAAAUAGGCUUUAUUGUCUUUUCUGCAAGAUAUAGUUUUUUAAUUUUUUCCAUUUUGCCUUUGCGGUGAAACACGAUCUGUUUUCGACCGGUUUUGUGAGAUUCACUCUGAAAUAAAACCCUGACAUUUUUCAGGUAGUAAUUUUAGACCGUGUCAGGUGUGUUUCUCGUGCACUUUCAUAACACAUAACCCUUACGAUGACAUUAUAAUCAGACAUGUUGAAGGAAAAUUAAAAAAUAUCUCCCUCAUGUCAUUCCAAACCCGCAUUACUUUCUUAAAAAGAGUGCAGAAUAUUCAUGCGUCAUACCAUCAUUUAUGGACUUGUUUUUUUAUAAUGUGUUUCUUUUCAGCUUUUUGGAGCUUGACCUCGAUACGUGCUUUCAUAGUAUUGAAAUAAAGCAUGAAUAUUUGGUCUUAUUCUCCCUUUUUGUGUAAUCCACAGAAGAAAUAUGUGGAAUCUGGAGUCAUACGAGACUGGAAUGACGAGUGUGAAUAAUGAUGAGGUGUUUUAGUGAACUGUCCAGUCAGACGAGGGAGGCACUGAAAAAUGUCACAGGUUUUGUAAGAGCCUGAAAGGGAAGUUCCACAUUAUGAGUCUAUUCAUAUUUCUAUAAAUGAUCUACCAUUAAAGUGAUAAGACAGACAUGUGGACGGUGAAGGAAAGCCAACAAUCCAGUUUUACAGUGCGAUUCAGUUCACUUGGGUUCAUUUUUAGUGUUUGGUAGAACAAACAAAUCUGCCUACUAUUAGAGUUUUGAGCAGGAUCAGUUUUUUAUGGUGUUAAGAGCAGCAGGAUGGGUUGAUGUCAUUCAUACAACUCAGUUAAACGUGAGACGGGAUGCAUGAAUGUUGGGAGUUUUACGGUAGACAUGCUUGUUUCCCAAAAUAUUUAGGUGAAAUCUUUCUUUCGUUCAGCAGUUAUGUGCUUUUGCAGGUUGCAGGAUUAUUUUUAAACUCUAAUCAGCACUAAUGUGUACGUUCACUACAGGCUGUAGUUUUAUUUUUAUUUACUUAAUUAGCAAUACAAAUCAUCAGUGUCUGUAAGUUAUAUGAUUAGUGAAGCAUUACCAGAUGAAUCACCAUUAAAUGGCUGUAAAAAAAAAACAACAACAAAAAACAUUAUGCAUAAAGAAAAUGAUGCUUAUUUGAGGCCAAUACAAUUUUUUCCAUGUUUUAUUUUAAUUAAUUUUAUUCUUUUUUAUUCUCUUUUGCACUGUGACAUUUUCAUGGCAAUUACAUAAGAAUUUGUUUUGCAUUGUGAUAUUGUCAUGACGAUUACCUUUAUAUGUCUGAAUGUGUUCUGAUUUUUUUCCCUCAUUAUCAAAUGUGGUUUUCAUAAAUGUGUAACAGAAAAGUUUAUUUAAAUCAGCAAAACUGAAAGCAUUGCAUGCAUUAAUAAAAAUUAAACUGUAGUAGUAUCCCCUUUUUUUUUAUUUAUUUUUUUAUAUAAAGUUGUUUAAUUGUCAUGAAAGUAAUGUCAAAAUUCAAAACACUUCCUUAAGAGAAAAUAUAAUUAUUAUUUUUUUUUUUGGAGUGAAACAUGACCUGGGCAUAGCUGAGAGAUUCCCCUACCAGCAGAGUACAUGAAGUUUUGUUUUUCUGUGUGUAAUAUUAAUUUCCUGUAAAAGCCCAUUCAUUUAAUGGAGGUCAAAAGAAUCUGUAACGCAGAUAAGAAGUGACGUGUCCCUCGGUCGUUCUGAGGGAAUGUGAAGGGCUUGUGUGGUGAGCAUCCGGAAAUGCUACCUAACUAAUGUAGUCUUCUUAACUUUUUUUAGGGUUUAUUGUUUAUAUAUAUUAGAUUAAAUGUAUUUGAUCAUGUGACCAAACUGUCUCAGAUUUGUGUUCAUCUUCUCUUUCCUCAUACAUGCUUUUUAUUCUGUUCUGAGUUGAUGAACUCUCUGUUGAUGUCUUCAGCACUGCUAAAUACAGUUAAAUGUUAUUUUUCACGUCUUGAAGAGCAUCUUGUGUUUAUCUGUUGUGAUUAUAAGGUGUCCAAUAAAGAACUGCACGAUCUUUAAAAGCAAA